GGAGGAAUCGUCGCCUCCUCAACAAAAUGUUGAUACAUCUACUCCUCCUUCGAGCCCCCGUGCCCCUUCACCAAAAAGGGCACGGGUUGAAAAGAUUGUUGAUCCUGCCCCUCAGUUGGGCAGUUCGUCGACUCUGCUCUUAGAUGAUCCAAUGAUCAAAGAGCUUCUUCGGAUCGGGUCCCAAUUUGUUGGGUACCGUGAAUAUGCCGCCAGAGCCGAAGAAAAACUUUCAGAGGCCAACGAACGUGUCGACGCACUUGCUCAAAAACUCGAGCAAAGUGAGGCGGCUCGCAAGAAAGCUGAACUUGCUGCUAG